CAUGGGAGCACAUAGAAGCAAAUGGGUGUACAUGAUAAUACAUGGGAGUACAUAGGGGUACAUGGGUGUACAUGAUAGUACAUGGGAGUACAUAGAGGUACAUGGAUGUACAUGAUAAUACAUGGGAGCACAUAGAAGCAAAUGGGUGUACAUGAUAAUACAUGGGAGUACAUAGGGGUAAAUGGGUGUACAUGAUAGUACAUGGGAGUACAUAGGAGUAAAUGGGUGCACAUGAUAAUACAUGGGAGUACAUAGGGGUACAUGGGUGUACAUGAUAGUACAUGAGAGUACAGAGGAGUACAUGGGUGUACAUGAUAAUACAUGGGAGUAUAUAGAGGUACAUGGGUGUACAUGAUAGUACAUAGGAACACAUAUAAUUAUAUAGUACAUUUGAGUAUAUAAGAGUACAUAAGAGUACAUGGGAAAGUCAGACAGUAGAAGACUAGCGAGUCCGUUCUGAGACUAUCUACUGAGAACUAUCUGCUUCUAUCUAGAUUAAGAAUUAUUGCGUAUUAUCUAGAUACGAACUAUCGGGUACUAUCUAGAUUAAGAACUAUCGUGUAUUAUGUAGAUGUAUAAGUCAAGAAUACAGCAGAGGGUCACAAUGGCACCAUAAGUCAGAAAUACACCAGGGGGUCACAAUGGCACCAUAAGUCAGAAAUACACCAGGGGGUCACAAUGGCACCAUAAGUCAGAAAUACACCAGGGGGUCACAAUGGCACCAUAAGUCAGAAAUACACCAGGGGGUCACAAUGGCACCAUAAGUCAGAAAUACACCAGGGGGUCACAAUGGCACCAUAAGUCAGAAAUACACCAGGGGGUCACAAUGGCACCAUAAGUCAGAAAUACACCAGGGGGUCACAAUGGCACCAUAAGUCAGAAAUACACCAGGGG